rnacentral:rRNA from 1 species
UAAUACGUAGGGUGCAAGCGUUAAUCGGAAUUACUGGGCGUAAAGCGUGUGUAGGCGGUUCGGAAAGAAAGAUGUGAAAUCCCAGGGCUCAACCUUGGAACUGCAUUUUUAACUGCCGAGCUAGAGUAUGUCAGAGGGGGGUAGAAUUCCACGUGUAGCAGUGAAAUGCGUAGAUAUGUGGAGGAAUACCGAUGGCGAAGGCAGCCCCCUGGGAUAAUACUGACGCUCAGACACGAAAGCGUGGGGAGCAAACAGGAUUAGAUACCCUGGUAGUCCACGCCCUAAACGAUGUCAACUAGCUGUUGGGGCCGUUAGGCCUUAGUAGCGCAGCUAACGCGUGAAGUUGACCGCCUGGGGAGUACGGUCGCAAGAUUA